AGAGUUUGAUCCUGGCUCAGGAUGAACGCUGGCGGCGUGCCUAAUACAUGCAAGUCGAACGAGGUGCUUUUGUAGUAAUACGAGAGUAUCCUAGUGGCGAACGGGUGAGUAACGCGUUGGUGACCUGCCCCAAAGUGUGGGAUAACAGUCCGAAAGAUCUGCUAAUACCCCAUGUUGUCAUCGUGCUUAGAAAGCGAUGAUUAAAGGAGCAAUCCACUUUGGGAGGGGCCUGCGUCCCAUCAGCUAGUUGGUAGGGUAAUGGCCUACCAAGGCAAUGACGGGUAAGGGACCUGAGAGGGUGGCCCCUCACAAUGGAACUGAAACACGGUCCAUACACCUACGGGUGGCAGCAGUAGGGAAUAUUGCACAAUGGACGAAAGCCUGAUGCAGCAACGCCGCGUGUACGAUGAAGGUCUUCGGAUUGUAAAGUACUUUUCAGGGAGAUGAGAAAGGACAGUACCCCUGGAAUAAGUCUCGGCUAACUACGUGCCAGCAGCCGCGGUAACACGUAGGAGGCGAGCGUUAUCCGGAUUUACUGGGUGUAAAGCGCGUGCAGGCGGUUUGGUAAGUUGGAUGUGAAAGCUCCUGGCUUAACUGGGAGAGGUCGUUCAAUACUAUCAGACUAGAGAAUGGUAGAGGAAGAUGGAAUUCCCGGUGUAGUGGUGAAAUGCGUAGAUAUCGGGAGGAACACCAGUGGCGAAGGCGGUCUUCUGGCCCAUUUCUGACGCUCAGACGCGAAGGCUAGGGUAGCAAACGGGAUUAGAGACCCCGGUAGUCCUAGCAGUAAACGAUGUGAACUUGGCGUUGGUGGUGUAAAAACCAUCAGUGCCGUAGCUAACGCGAUAAGUUCACCACCUGGGAACUACGGCCGCAAGGUUAAAACUCAAAGGAAUUGACGG
rnacentral:rRNA from 1 species